rnacentral:rRNA from 1 species
GAUGAACGCUGGCGGCGUGCCUAAUACAUGCAAGUCGAGCGAACAGACGAGGAGCUUGCUCCUCUGACGUUAGCGGCGGACGGGUGAGUAACACGUGGAUAACCUACCUAUAAGACUGGGAUAACUUCGGGAAACCGGAGCUAAUACCGGAUAAUAUAUUGAACCGCAUGGUUCAAUAGUGAAAGACGGUUUUGCUGUCACUUAUCGAUGGAUCCGCGCCGCAUUAGCUAGUUGGUAAGGUAACGGCUUACCAAGGCGACGAUGCGUAGCCGACCUGAGAGGGUGAUCGGCCACAUGGGAACUGAGACACGGUCCAGACUCCUACGGGAGGCAGCAGUAGGGAAUCGUCCGCAAUGGGCGAAAGCCUGACGGAGCAACGCCGCGUGAGUGAUGAAGGUCUUCGGAUCGUAAAACUCUGUUAUUAGGGAAGAACAAAUGUGUAAGUAACUAUGCACGUCUUGACGGUACCUAAUCAGAAAGCCACGGCUAACUACGUG